UGCUUGCUGAACUAACAUGGCAGGUC
rnacentral:piRNA from 1 species